rnacentral:rRNA from 1 species
CACGCUGGCGGCAUGCCUAAUACAUGCAAGUCGAGCGAACGGAUGAGGAGCUUGCUCCUCUGACGUUAGCGGCGAAUGGGUGAGUAACACGUGGGCAACCUGCCCUGUAGUUGGGGAUAACUCCGGGAAGCCGGGGCUAAUACCGAAUGAUUAAUUCUUUCUCAUGAAAGGAUUCUGAAAGACGGCUUCGGCUGUCGCUACGGGAUGGGCCCGCGGCGCAUUAGCUAGUUGGUAAGGUAACGGCUUACCAAGGCGACGAUGCGUAGCCGACCUGAGAGGGUGAUCGGCCACACUGGGACUGAGACACGGCCCAGACUCCUACGGGAGGCAGCAGUAGGGAAUCAUCCACAAUGGACGAAAGUCUGAUGGUGCAAUGCCGCGUGAGCGAAGAAGGUUUUCGGAUCGUAAAGCUCUGUUAUGAGGGAAGAACAAGUACAGGAUUAACUGUCUGUACCUUGACGGUACCUCAUUAGAAAGCCACGGCUAACUACGUG